UACGGGGGGGCAAGCGUUGUUCGGAAUUACUGGGCGUAAAGGGCUCGUAGGUGGCCAACUAAGUCAGACGUGAAAUCCCCAGGCUCAACUUGGGAACUGCGUCUGAUACUGGAUGGCUUGAAUUCGGGAGAGGGAUGCAGAAUUCCAGGUGGUAGCGGUGAAAUGCGUAGAUAUCUGGAGGAAUACCGGUGGCGAAGGCGGCAUCCUGGACCGAGAUUGACACUGAUGAGCGAAAGCUAGGGGAGCAAACGGG
rnacentral:rRNA from 1 species